rfam:Vigna angularis cultivar Jingnong 6 scaffold268_34, whole genome shotgun sequence.
AUGUGCGAUCAUACCAGCACUAAUGCACCGUAUCCCAUUAGAACUCCGCAGAUAAGCGUGCUAGUACUAGGAUGGGUGACCUGCUGGGAAGUCCUCGUGUUGAGCCUC